rnacentral:rRNA from 1 species
AUUGAACGCUGGCGGUAUGCCUUACACAUGCAAGUCGAACGGCAGCACGGGAGCAAUCCUGGUGGCGAGUGGCGAACGGGUGAGUAAUAUAUCGGAACGUGCCCAGUAGUGGGGGAUAGCCCGGCGAAAGCCGGAUUAAUACCGCAUGAGACCUGAGAGUGAAAGCGGGGGAUCGCAAGACCUCGCGCUAUUGGAGCGGUCGAUAUCAGAUUAGCUAGUUGGUGGGGUAAAGGCCUACCAAGGCAACGAUCUGUAGUUGGUCUGAGAGGACGACCAGCCACACUGGGACUGAGACACGGCCCAGACUCCUACGGGAGGCAGCAGUGGGGAAUUUUGGACAAUGGGCGCAAGCCUGAUCCAGCAAUGCCGCGUGCAGGAGGAAGGCCUUCGGGUUGUAAACUGCUUUUGUCAGGGAAGAAAUCCCUUGGGAUAAUACCUCGGGGGGAUGACGGUACCUGAAGAAUAAGCACCGGCUAACUACGUGCCAGCAGCCGCAGUAAUAC